GUUCAAAGCAUUCAGAAAUAAUAGAGAAUACAGUGACAUAUAACGAUGUGCAUGUUGACAUCACACAUGAAGAAUGCGCAUUAUUGGAUCCUUCACAAAGGAAUCUCUACAAAGAGGUGAUGCUGGAGACAUAUAUGAACCUCACUGCUAUAGGCUACAAUUGGGAAGAUCUUGAAGUUGAAGAACAUUGUCAAAGUUCUCAAAAACAUG